AAGCUAAGGUGUAGAUGUCGCUCAAGGAGAGCGUGUAGAAAGCAGAGGGGAGAGGGUCAAAGGACAGGCGGAGGAGGAGACGGUGUGAUCUGAGAGGCAGGGAGAAAGCGGGACCAGGAGGGGAGGGUGUCUUCAAACGCAGGAGAGCUUAGAUAACGUUUCAUCAGCCAAGUGCUCAUGGCUUGGAAAUGGGGCAGAGGCCAGGGAUGCUAGGACUCCAUAAUAUACAGGGCAGCCGCCCGGCCCCAAGCAAGACUUAUAAGCCUAAAAUGUCAAUGAACUGAAAUUGAGCAACUGGUUUCAAUUCCUGAUUGUGAAUCUCAGGUGGCCUGGGGGCUGCCUCUCCCCGUCCCGGGCUCUUAGAGGAUCAGUCGCCCCUGCCCUCACCCCUCCCCUCCUCACGCCCACUCCAGGGCCUUGCUCCCUAUUUGCCUGAGAAACGGAAGAAUCAGAGGAGACCUCUCAGCCCUCAGACCAUGGUGUCCACCACUCCCCGAGAUUCACCCAUCGCCGCCGGCUUCUCCCCUCCUGGUCCUGCAGGCCCCUCCCCCACCCUAGAUGUUGCCCCUUUUACUUUCUUAACCCCAAGGGCAUAUACUUCUCUUCUAUUAACUUCUUUAAUUUCUUCCAUUUUAAGAGAAGGGCUUCCCUGGUGGCUCGGUUGGUAAAGAAUCUGCCUGCACUGCAGGAGACCCAGGUUUGAUCCCAGGGUGGGGAAGAUCCCCUGGAGAAGGGAAUAGCUACCCACUCCAGUAUUCUUGCCUGGAGGGUGCCAUGGACAGAGGGGCCUGGCGGGCUGCAGUCCACAGAGUCGCAAAGAGUCUUAAGAGAACCCACAUGCUAUCUCUCGCCCCAUUCCCUUCCAAGACUCCCUAGGGUUCCCGUGGUCUCCUGGGCCCGCCAGGCGCUGGGCCCCCGUCACCAGGAGCCGUGGUUGGUCUCAGGGCUCAGCUGUCUCUGCUCUGGGGAAGCAUGACAGGCCUGCCCUCACCUGGCGCCUUGAGACCCUCCCUCCUGGCCUCCCGGCCACCCUGAGCCUGCCCCUCCUCAGCUCCUCCCCGGCUGAGUGCAGAGGCAGAGUCGGGCGUGCCCUCACUUGGCUCUCGGUGGUAAGACGGCAUGGGAGCGCUGACCGGCCCCGAGGUCCAGCCCGGAGGGUCCAGCCAGUCCACAGCCUGUCCACCAGCAACUCUGGCUCCCAGUGCUCCCUCAGGCUCCUCGCCUCCCUCUGCACCCUCCUCCUGCCCCAGACGGCAACGUCUGCCUUCCGGUGUGGCUCCCGCUCCUGUCCAUCACCGGGGCCUGUCCUGAAGAUGAAAUAGAUUCUCCCCAAGAGCAACCGGCACAGGGAGCAGCGCACCCACUGGUCUGUGUGUGAAGGGACGCCCGCCACGGCAACUUCAUGAUGGCAAAGCUCAGCCUGCAUUUCAGGUUUGACACAGAAUGGGCUUCCCAGCCCAGAGCGGACCCAGGAAUUGAAGUAACACGUUGAAACUGCAUUGCUGGCGCUGUUCAGUUGCUCAGUCAUGUCCAGCUCUUUGCGACCCCAUGGACUGCAGCACGCCAGGCUUCCCUGUCCUUCACCAUCUUCCUGAGUUUGCUCAAACUCAUGUCCACUGAGUUGGUGACGCCGUCCAACCUGCCUUCAAUCUUUCCCAGCAUCAGGGUCUUUUUCCACUGAGUCGGCGCUUCACAUUAGAUGGCCAAAGUAUUCUAGCUUCAACUUCAGCAUGUCAUGAGCAACUUGAAACAGAAAGUUCUCAACUGGGAAAAAAUAGAAUUCUUCUCCUUAGGAGAUGUUGUCCCCCAGGCAAUGUUGCGCAGAAAAGAGUUUGGCUGGAGCUCUUUCUUCCCCAUGGUGACUCCAUUCACAUUAGAAUUAUGUCCUUUUUCAAAAGAAGAUUCCUUGUGAUUGUUGAGAAUUUUAAAAGGGGACUGCUUUUCAAGACA